rnacentral:rRNA from 1 species
AGAAUCAACGCUGGCGGCGUGCCUAACACAUGCAAGUCGAACGCGAAAGGGGAGCAAUCCCUGAUUAGAGUGGCAAACGGGUGAGUAACACGUGGGUGACCUGCCUUCGAGUGGGGGAUAACCUUCCGAAAGGAGGGCUAAUACCGCAUGACAUACCGUGUUUGGAUACACGGAUAUCAAAGCCGGGAUCGCAAGACCUGGCGCUUGGAGAGGGGCCCGCGUCCGAUUAGCUAGUUGGUGGGGUAACGGCUCACCAAGGCUCCGAUCGGUA